rnacentral:lncRNA from 1 species
AAUGAAUCUUACAUAAUCAUGCCAAAUAGAGUAUAAAAGUACAAUUAUUAAUCUUAUCUCUGGUAACUUAAAUAUUUCCUUAUUCCCUUCCCAGUACCAAAGAAAAAGGCAAAAGGCAGAAAAAAUAGUGCUGAAGAUAACCCAAGAGGGUGAAUUAAGACAACGUGGAUUCAAACCUUGGCUUUGCCUCUUUGUAGAUGCCAAGUCUCAGAUUCCCCAAUGAAAAAACCAAAGUAGUGAUUACCUCACUGGGUUCUUGUGAGUUUAAAGGAGAUGUAACAUGAUGUGUUUUAUACAUGUGACUCAUCCUAUCACUACAGAAAAGAUUAAGCUUCUAGAUGCUCCGUCUUGAGGCUGAAGACGCAUGAUGGUUCAGAUGUGGCCGGGUGUGAUUGUGGGCCAUAAAUUACACUUUCAAAGGUGGCUCCAUCCAUCUUACUACUUUCACCCAUUUACCCAUAAAGGCCAUCACUUGGCAGCUACUCAAGAGAAGUAAAAAAUCCAAUUUGGAGGCAAGUGAUGAGGUAGCAUUCCCUACAGGUGUUCUUUCCUAAAUUCAGAUUGAGUACACAGCUCUGUGUAAGGGCUUCAAAACUUGCAAGAUAUCAUGACCCUCAAUGCCAGGAUAAAAUAGUGCCAAACCACUGACAGCUGGUUUGGCUGAGUCAAGCAUAUUGAUCAGCGAAGGUCAUUGAGAUGCAUCAUGGGAGCUGCUGUAGGGGAAGAGAAUCAUUGUCUCCAGAGGCAUCAAGUCAGCUACAAUGUCCCUUUCCUUCCAUCCUGGGUGCCAGGACCACUAACAUGGAUCAAGAGGCUGCUUGCAGCAAAUACCUAUGCUCAAGGCAUUUCACUCUGUGAGCCCUUUUGUGGUUCCUCAUCAUUUCUGUACAACUCCUUAUUUCAAUAGGGAAAAGUUGGAAAUACUGGCUCUAUUCUGCUAAUUACAUAAAAAGUUAGAUGCCUAUAAUGAUAGAGUGGUCUUAACACUCAUCUGUCUCAAUUAUCAUUGUCCUUCUCUCGGCUUCACCCAAAGUUUAAAAUGGGGGUUGUUUUUAAAAUUUGUUCAUCCCAUACAUACUCUUAUCCAUGUAUAGGGACCACUAUUCAAUUCAUCAUGCCCAUUAUAUCAAUAAGAAUAAUAAGGACCAAAAAGCAAAAGGAAAUUUGCUCAGAUCACAUCACUAUUCAGUAGUUGAGCAAAACUGGAGUUCCUUGAUUGUAAACAAUAGCAAUACAAUGUAGUGACUUAAGUAAUAGACACAUAGACAAGUAUGAACUGAAGGGAGAGCUGAAGACCUAGGCAUUGGGAGAAAUAUGAACAUGUAUCUUCAGUGGUCUUGGUGGCAGGAAUUCAUUGGUAGUCUCUCCAGGAUUUCUCCAUCAGGUCAUUUAGACUCAGCCACUUCAUGCAUGUGGUUGUCUAAGAGUCACACUCCUGGAGGGAGAGACUUAAUUUGUCAUCAAUUCUCAGGUCCUUUACCUAAGCAGUGGUCAAGGACUCUGGAUCCAGAGGUUGACUUUCCACUAGAAUCACACAGUGACAGAGUCAGGGGAAAUCACUAAGGGAUACUGAGAAAACAGAAUGAAAAACAUAAUAUUCCCGAAACACGUGUAUACCGCAUAUUUAAAAUAAAGGCAAACUCUUUUCAUGAGACAAAGCAAUUUAAAAAUAAAUAAGUCUUAACUUUCCAGAAAGCUGAACAACAAACACUUUUUUAUACAAAAUGGUUUCUUUUGAGUAGUUUCAGUUUGAUGGAUGAUGACCAAGGCCCUUGGGGCUGCCUCCAGCUUUUCUUCCUGGGAUAUAGCCCUGUUUCUGUAUUGGGAGUAAAAGAAAUUUGCUGUUCUGGGGCUUAAUCUCCAUUGAGAGAAUGACCCAGACAUGGUGAGGAAAGGCAUCUGGUGUAUAAUACCCUACCUCUCAAUGUUCAUUUCAAUCACUUGGAAAAUCUUACUUGCAGGAUUUUUCAAAGCUGUAUUAAUCAUAUGUUGGACAUAGCAAAGAACUCCUGAAGUACAACCAUCACCCCAGGGAAAAAACACAUUGCCCAAGGACAAGGAAGACUGAGUUUCAGUUCUGUCUCUGACAUUUGCUGACUUGGACAAGGCUGCUUUACCUUCCUUGACCUUAAGGCUUUUUUAACCUAUAAAAGAAAGAUGUUGAAAUAGACACUUUCUCAAGAAUUGGUAGAACGAAUAAAUGUGAAAAUGGAUAAAUGUUUUAGAACUUAAUAAAACUAAACUCCACACCAUGAAUGAGCCUUAAUUUAAUUCUUUUAAAACAAGUAUAGGACAUGCAGAAAUAGAGAAGACAGACAUUAGUCAAAAUUACUUUAAUUGUAUCUUUGUUCUGGCUCCAAGUUGUCUUUGUAUGAAAAUUGUCACUGAGAUAUUAUGACCACUAUCAUCAGCCCUGUGAUGAAGGUGUGAUUGUUUGGAUGCCUGAGAACUCGUGGAUGUUCCUUCCUGAGCUCAAAGUCAUUUGGUGGACACAACUGGAGAACUAAGACACCAAAGGGUUUGCCACCCACCCCACCUCGGACCCCCAUUUUUAAUACUUCAUCAAGAGCAGAAAUUUGGGGCAAUAAAGCAUUGGAUAAAUUCCAUUCUCCUCUUAAUGGAAACAUUAAACAGCAAGUAAGUGUAAUUUUUGAACAAAGAAUUUUUAGAAGGGUCUUGCAAGUAUUACACAUUUCAUUUCCUUUUUAUAUCUAAUUUAAUUUCUUUGGUGUGGACAAGACAGUUUAACAGCCAUACUUUGUUAACUUUAUUCCUAUUCCUUGCAGGCAAAGAGAAAAUUAACCACAUCAGAUGUCAGUAGCUCCACAGAGAGCUUCCUCGAAUAAUCCAGGCACUCUGCUGGACUCUAAAUAUAGAGUCCGGAUCUUUGCUCUCAAGAAGCCCACAGAUGGUGGGGUUGGGAGAGGAGUUUCUUUCCACUCUCCAGUCAAUGCAUAGUCUAUAGGUGUGAGCAAUACCUAACUGUGAGGUUGGCUAAAAGCCAAAUUUACUUGUGCAGAAGUAAGCCCAGGAAGAACCCCAAGAUCUGUUUUGUCUGCUGUCUAUCAGGUUAGGUAAGAGGGGAAUCAGGUAGAGGAGAUGGAUUCAUUGCAAGUUCUUUGUUACCUCUCUAAAUAAUCUGCAACUCUAAGGAUUUUCCCUGCCCCUGUUCUAGCAGAAGAAAGAAACCAAAAAUAGCCAAAUGCUCAGACUUAUCUGCCACUUUGAUAUUAUUAGACUCCAGGGAGUAGAUGUCUCUCAUUAUUAUAAGAGAAUUAUGACUGGUUCUGUGAACCACAGACAACCUUAUCUCCAUCUUCAUUCUCCCAGGCAGUUAUGUUGAACAUGUAAAUAGUCCCCCUGCUGUGAUCAUUAGUGCAGCUGGCCAGAGAUGCUCUAUUUUCAAGAUGCUGAUUCAAGAAUAUAGGAGCAUCAGGAGCAACGCACCAGGUAAGUCCUCCCCAGUGGCAGGUGCUGGUUCAGUUUGUGAAAACUGUGGGCCUUUGGUUAGGUCAAGGCUCAUGUGGAACACUGUCUUCAUUAAUGUUUAUAUUCUGUGACAAUUAACAGAUGCCCCCUUGAAUUAGCUGAAACAGGAAGGGGGUCAUAGCACAAUGAUCCAGCAUAUCAAGCAUUUUAGGGAACACUGGUGCUAAUUAUAGUCUGACCUCUAACGAGGCUGGGCUGAGAAAUCAGCACCUACUCUCUGUCUUUGUGAGGCCAUAUGGUCCCUCAUUUCCCCUUAUUUCUGCACCUCAGCUUCAUUUUUCCCCUUUCCAAUACUCCUGGCUCCAUCUCUGCACAUGUGGCAAUAGAUGCCUGUGCCUCGACUUCUUCAUUUACCCGCCCUUGACAUUCACAUGUCAAGCAGUAAGUGGAGACUCAAACUCUCAUAUCUUUGACUCCAAAUCCCCAGGACCAGCUAAGUUGGCCCAUACUCUCCACUUAGGAUCAAAUCAGGAAUUAGGACUCCUAAAGCCCAAAGAUGGACCCCCAGGAAACUCAAGCCUUGCAUGAAGAACCACUUACUGAGCAAGAUAGCAAGCCCUUCAUGUGCAUCAUCUUUGCCUGAAACUCACAGAAACCCUAUGAAGAGCUAUGAUCUUAUUUUAACAAAGCAGACUAAGAAAUUUGCCCAGGAUCAUACACUUUAAUGGCAGAAAUGGAAUUUAAACCCAGUUCUCUUCAACUUCAAAAUCGUCUCUUUACCACAGUCCUCUCCUGCUCCAAACAGGGCUUCUACAAUUUAAACCAGCUUCAAAUCACCCAGAAGGUUCAUUGAAACCCAGAUUUCUAGGCCAUGUACCUGGAGAUUCUGAUUCUGGAGGUCUAGCAAUGGGCUCAAGAAUUCACAUUUCUAACAAGCUCUCCUAGGAAGCUGAUAUUACUGGUUGAGACCCACACUCUGAGCAGCACUGAUGGUUUAAGCUAUCAAGAAAUGAACCUUCUCAUGAACUGACAAAUCUCCAAGUUGUAAUAAUACCCUAGAAAUAUCCAGCGUAAACCAAGUUCUCAUGACUUCAUUUAUGUGCUUUGUUUAACCCCAGUGUUUUAUACAUUCUGGUUUUCAUACAUGGUUCUAAGAAAUAAAAUUCUGUCUGACAUAGGGACUCUUGGAGUUCUGGAAAUAUAUGCACUACAUCAUCUUUGGAGGUCAUUGUGCAAGUUACCCUUUCUCCUUUUUCCUGUUAGCCCUCCACUCAAAAAAAAAAAAAAAAAAGUCACUCUGAAACUCUUCACAGAAAUAAUUCUGAAUCACACUGCCCAAGUGGGAGAUGGCAGAGACCAGUCACUUGAACUAGGAUGAAUAGCAACUUUGCUCUUCUCACCCACAAUUUUAAAAAGUUCUUUGUAUAUAGUACUAAAUAUGAACUAACAGCUACUACAUGUCAUGGGUGAAUCUCACACACACAUCAU